rnacentral:tmRNA from 1 species
GGGGAUGACUGGUUUCGACUUGGAAUGGUUGUUCCAGGAGAAGCGGGCCGAGGACCCAGGGUCAACUCGUUAACGAUCCUUGGGAACCUAUAAGUGCCGAGAACACUCGCACUGACUUCGCUCUCGCUGCCUGAUCAGUGAUCGAAGGGUCAGCCCGGAUGUAGCCUUCCGUCCGGAUCCUGGCCUCGUUUUAGAAGGCUUGCCGUGCGGCCGUGGUCACGGAGGCUGCACGGGACGUUUCCGUGACUGGGCUUGUCUGCACCAUGUCGGUGUGAGUGCAGGAGCCGAGCAAUAACGACAGCAUCGACUGCGCCCGGAGAAUGUCUGGACGGUCUUUCAAGGACGCGGGUUCAAUUCCCGCCAUCUCCACUC